rnacentral:lncRNA from 1 species
UCAGAAAAAGGCCAAUUUGGCAUGAAUAGAAAGAGCAAGGAAAAGGUAGGAGCAAAUGUAAUGAACUAGGUAGCUACCGGUCAGAUCAUGGGUAGUCUUAAGGGCUGUAGAAAAAAAAGUGUGUUUUUUCCUAUAUAUUAAAGAAUGUUAUUGGGAAAUUUUAGCAGGGAAGUGGUGUGCUUGGGCUUUCAUGGUGGGAAAUCUGAUAGGAAGCUAUUGCAAUGAUCUGGGUGUGAGAUAUAGUGACCUGGACAAGGUUGAUGGCAAGGAAAUUGCUAAGAGAUGGUUGCAUUUGCUUUGUUUGAAAGAAGAAAUGUGUUACAAGUUUCUAAGACAAUGAUAGAGUGCUGAGAAAGGGAAGACUUAUACAUGAUGUUAAAGAUUUUGACUUGAGUUGGUGAGUGAAUGGCAAUAGUAUUUACUAAGUUCUGUCUGGGGAGGAAGUGAAGUGAGGGUUAAUAAGAGAUCAAAUUAUAUUUUGUAUAUUGUAUUUCUGAAAUAGCUAUGGGAUAGCCAAGUGUAGAUGUUGAGAGGGAAGCUGGACAUGCAAGUUCAGAGGAGUGGAGAGAAUAGGGUCUAUAAAUUUGAGAAUCAUUCGUGUAUAGAUGGUAUUUAAAGUUAUGUUGCUAGGUGAGAUCAGUUAGGGAGUAAGACUAGUGAGAGAUCAGAAAUAUGAAGUAAACUGAACAAAGAAAGAUGAGUAAAAUUCACUUACAAUGUCAGAGGAAAAUAGGAAUCAUACUGUGUUCUGGAAAUGAAGUGUGGAAAAGAUUUCCACCAUGCACAAUGCUCCUGAGAGGUUGAAUAGUAUGGAGCUUUUCAGAACCUUGAACAGAGAAAGAGGGAAGAAGGAAUAAAAUGUUAUCAUUUCUAUUUUAAGUAUCUGCAUUUCAAAUCAAAACGUGAAGGAGCUUUCUCAUGCAAAGAUUAUGUAAAUUCAUGAUAUAAGGAUAUUAUAAUGGAAUUAAAUUGUGUCAGUUUUGUCCAAGGUACCAAAAUGAUACAUGUAUAGCCCACAAUGAGACUUAAGACCCAAAAAACAAAAAUUAAAGAUAGUAGAAAACUGGUUCCAUUUUUAAUCAGUGGCUGGCCACAUACCACCAAUGCCCAACAAAUUUUGGAUAGGCUAAGAACAAAGAGAAAUUCAAAGAGAUUUUUUUGGGUGAAGUGUCAGUACUCCGUGGUUCUCCCUAAUGCAAAAGUCAAGGUGCUUUCCCUUUCUCUCAAUAGCAAAAAAGGCUAUAAAGAGCCAGCUCGCGGAGGUUACCGCAUUCCCUUUCUUUCUCACUACUGCCAUGUCUGACUCAUGCAUGAGAAAUUCAAAAGGCAAGCCCUGGGCUGGCUUUCUGGUAGUGACAGAAAAGGGAUUGCUGUUGCUUCAGAAUCAUCCUACAGUCUCGAAUUCAUUGGGGCAAAGCCAUAUGCUGUUUUUCCUAUACCUGAUAGGAGCCAUGCCAGGGAAAAGCCAGUGUGAGCUUGUGUUGGCUCUUGCCUAAGAGGGUGCAUCAGUUAUGACUUUGUUUUGUAACAAACCAGCCCCACACUCAGUAGCUUAAAACAGAAGAUGCUUAUGAUUUUCAUGGGUCAGCUGCAUGGUCAUUCUGUGGUCAGCUGGCAGCUUGUCUGGAACUGGAUUGUCAUGGAUGGCUUCAUUGGAUGUCUGGCAAUUGAUUGGAUGUCAGCCUGGUGAUGUUGACUGUAAGGGUCUUGUUCAGCUGGACAAUCUGGACCUUUCACAGGGUAGUGUUCACAGGGAGAAUUGAAAAUUUCAAGGAAUAUGUUUUCCUUGUGCCCCUCAAUUGCUUUAAAAAUUUUUAUUUAUGUAGCUGAUGUGUUAAUUGAAAAUCUUAUUCCUAGUUUAUUUUUGUUUAUAUCAUUAUCAGUAACAUUAAUAAUAAUGAAGUUAACACAGACUUUUGACAAUUUUAAUAACUUAUUUUUGGAAUCAAUGAUUGAUAAUUCAAUGUGUCAUAAAUACUUAUGAAAAAUAAAACUAGUCAGUUAAAUUUCAGUUAUUGGAUUUGAUAUAUAUUUAUAAGACCUGUAUAAUUACUUUUAAAUUUAGAUUUCCUAUUUCUUUAUGUGUACUUCUGUGUCUAAACUUAUGGAAAGAAUUUUCCACUAUGUGUCUCUAUUUUUACUCUUGUUUUUCAGUUUUUUUUUGUUUUAAUGAUCUGAAACUUGAUAUAUAUAAAUAUUAUUGAUAAGUGGUUACUGUGAUUUAUUCUCACUUGUUACUGUAAAAUAUAUUUGCUUUUCUUAUUUCAUGGUUAUUGCUUUGAACUCAGACUUAUAUGUCUCUUCUUCCAUGAUCUUAUUUUAACAGCAGAUUUCUCUAAAUUUACUGAAAGUUAAGUAAUUCUUUUUUUAUAGUGCAGACAAAAUUAAGCAAACUUAAACUCAAUGCACUAUUUAUUCAUAGAUCACAAAUUAGAUAUCAAAUUAUAAUGCUCAACUUUCCAAAAUCUCAAGGAAAAUCUCUAAUAUAAUGUUAUUUGUAAAUGGACACUUAAGCAGCUCCUCUUUACUUACCUAAGGAUAUUUUCUUCUUUCACUGAAUGUGACUCUUCAAGACAGAAAUAUGGCCAACAAUUUUCAUAGAAACACAUAAAAUAAUUCAAAUAUUAGAGUACUGACAAGUCAGGAAUAUUUUCCUCCCAUCAAUAAACACUAGUAGACAACUAUUAAUAUGCUAAUUAUAAUCAAUAAUUUUAUUGAACUCUUAUCCACAUUGAGCUAAGCAUUUUUAUGCAUAAUCUACUUUAAUUCUUAAAAAUGUAUGAAGCAAGUUUUUUUUUUAAACAGAUGAGUAAAUUGAAGGUCAGAGAAGUAAAGUGACCCUUCAAGGUCACCUCACUAAUUAGUGAUAGAGGCAAGAUUUGGACCAGGUAAUUUGAUAUACCUUUCCUAGGAAACAAAUUGAAUGAAUAAAGAGAUAUUAGAUUAAUUAGGAAGAAGAUUUACAGAAAACAGUAUAUGACUUGGAUUUUUUUUUUUUUUUAGUAAUUUAGAUAGACAAGUCUUUCAUCUUGAGUUAGGUAGUGAGUUUUAUUUUCUGAGUAUUAUGACUUUACCAAUAAUUUAAUAAUUUUAGAAUUUGGAUUAUAUCCUCUUCUAAAACUAUUUUUUUUCUAGGGGUGAAAAUAAUAAUGAUAAUAAAUUGCAAACCUUUAUUUAUAGUUAAAUUAUGUAAACAUAUAGUUGAAAGCCUGAUUCGAAACUCAAAAGUUUGAGAUUGCUGCUCAGAUCUCCAGGUCAGGAGGUUUUCGUGCUGACUUUGGUUCCCACAAACCACAGAGUGUGUGGCAAGGAGAGCUUUCCUUUCAAAAAGGCUGAACCUAAUGGGAGCCUUCUGCUGUCUGGGUCACCGUUGCCCUCUACAGGUCAUAAGGGUGUUCUACAGCUUUGGGUUGCCACUUGAAAAAAUCCUUUUAGGGGGUUGGGAAUGAAUACAGCUCAGUGGUAGAGUGCUUGCCCAGCAUACGCAAGGCAAAAAAAGAAAAGAAAAACAUUAUUUUAGCACCAAAAGGACUGUGAGUCCUUUGUAAGUAGCUUCUUUAGAGGGUUUUCUCACCAUUAUUGGCAUAAACAAUGGAAAGAUUGAGUUGCAUAGCCUAUGAUAGUCUCAAUUGUAUGUCUACAAUUGGACUGUGUUAGCUAGAUGAUGGUGACCACAUGUCUCCCAGGCUUCAGCAGGCUGGCAUGGGCUGUUCAUGUGGUAAUAGUUACUGAGAGAAUCGAAAUUUUCAAUGCGUAUAUUUUCCUUAUGCUCUUCAAUUGCUUUUUAGAAAUUUUCUUUACAUAGUUGCAAUACUCAUAUAUUUUUACUUUAUAAUUUUUUGUUUUAAUUAGUUAUACGUGACAGUAGAAUGCAUUUGUGCAAUUUGAUAUGUCGUACAUAAGUGGGGUAUAAUUAUUCAUUUUUCUGAUUGUACAUGUUGUAGAAUCACAUUGGUCAUGCCGUCAUACAUGUACAUAAGGUAAUAAUGUCUGUUUCAUUCUGUUAUCCUUCCUAUCCCCAUAUCCCCUCCCCUCCCUUUACUCUCCUCUACCUAAUCUAAAGUAACUCUAUUCUUCCCUAGGGCCCACCCCUUAUUGUGAAUUAGCAUCCACAUAUCAGAAAAAACAUUUGGCCUUUGGUUUUGGAAAAUUGGCUUAUUUUGCUUAGCAUGAUAUUCUUCAACUCCAUCCAUUUAUCGGCAAAUGCCAUGAUUUCAUUCUUCUUUAAAACAGUAAUAUUCCAUUGGGGGAAAUAUAUAUAUUUAUAUCACAUUUUCUUUAUAUAUAUAUAUAUAUAUAUAUAUAUAUAUAUAUAUAUAUAUAUAUCACAUUUAAUAUUCCAUUGGGGGAAAUAUAUAUAUAUCACAUUUUCUUUAUCCAUUCAUCUAUUGAAGGGCACCUAGGUUGGUUCCAUAGUUUAGCUAGUGUGAAUUGUACUGCUAUAAUUGAACUGCGAUUUUGAUGUGGCCGUUUCACUGUAGUAUGCUGAUUUUACUCAGAGUUUAAUGUUUGGAGUUGUUCAAUUACAUCAGGAAGAUUAUUCUUCUUAAAAAGGGAGUGGAGUACCAGAGGUGGAGAUGGCAGGAGUAUUUUCUUUUAAAAUAUAAAUGAUCACCUUGGAGGGCUGGGGUUGUGGCUCAGUGGCAGAGUGCUUGCCUAGCAUGUGUGAGGCACUGGGUUGGAUUCUCAGCACCAUCUAUCAGUAACAUAAAAUAAAGGUCCAUUGACAACUAAAAAUAUAAAAAAUCAAACAAACAAACCAUUUAUUUAUUUAUUUAUUUAAUACCUGGAGAGGCCACAUGACUUAAUGUGGAGUGCUCUCAUCCUUACUUUCUCAGUCACUAGUUCAUGACUCUGAACAUGCUGUGGAAUAUCUCUGAGCCUCAGAGUGGUCACCUGUCAAUCAUAGUAAUACCUUUCUCUUUGGUUAAUUUUGAGGAUCGAAUACAAUAAAUUCUAGAAAGCCAAUGCCAUAUAAUAAACCCUCUAAGGCAAUUAUUAUUAUUACUUGGUCAAUUAAGUUUUAAAGUUGAAAAUGAGGACUGGGGGCUUUAGCUCAGGGACAGAGUGCCUCUUUAACAGGAUGGAGGCCUUGGUUUGAUCCCCAGUGCUACAAACAAUGAAAGCAACAACAACCCCCCAGAACUGUAUGUGAGAACAAAACAAGUUAGGGCAAGGAUGGCAGGGUGGGGAAUUGUGAGAGAAAGUGGGCAUCGUAGAGGAGGGCUCUACUUAGUCCUCAUUUCACAUGUAUGAUUGAAUCUAUCAUGAAAAAGAGUAUAAAAACUUGUUUCAAAUAUAGCAAAAGAAAAGCCACUUAAUUUUUUGCUUCUGUUUUUCUAAACUAAAAACCUAAGUUUGCUGACUUUGCUCGAGGUCAUACUUUAGCUGUUGAUUAGGUUGUUUAUAACUUUGUUCUUGGUAAUAUAAUAACAAACACUGAUUUGGAGCUCCUAACUUUGAUAAAAAGAUAUUCUCUUGUUCUCUUUUCUGUUAUAUAGAGAACAAUAGUGUCCUAAUUUUAUGAGAGAUUUUUUUUUUGUUUUUUUAAGGCUAAAUAAGAAAUUCAUAUAAAAAUAUUUCCAGGCAUGAUUCUAAGUUCUUCAGCCAAAUUAACUUAUUUGACUCUCAAAACAAUCUUCAAGGUAGGAACUAUUAUUUUCCCAAUCUUUCUUCCUUUCUUCCUUCCUACCUUUCUUUUUUUCUACCAGGGAUUGAACCCAGAGGCACUUAACCACUGAGCCACAUCCCCAGGCACCCCCACCCCUCUUUUUUUUUUAAAAAAAAUUUAUUGUGACAAAGGGUCUCAAAAAGUUUCUCAGGGUCUCACUAAGUUGCUGAGGCUGGAUUUAAACUUAUAAUACUCCUGCCUCAGCCUCCCAAGCCACUGGGAUUACAGGUGUGCGCCACCACACCGGGCUAUUUUCCUCAUUUUUCUAAAGAGGAAACUGAAGUACAGAGAAUUCUAAUAAAUUUCCAAAGAUCACACAUUUUGUAAGUAUUGGGCCCAAAUCCAUUUUGGGAAAUCUGGUUCCAAGAUCUAUAUGCUUGUUUCUUUAUUUCACUUUGAGACCUUGUAAAAAAGAUAUUAAUAUCAAUAUUAAUAUUAAUCAGAUCCUUAUGUCUCAAAUUCAGCAAAAAUGCUUCCUAUAUUAACAAAUUAACAAAUGAACAAAGUGGGACCAGGUAGAAAGAUCAAUUGUUUUCUUUCCAAUUCCCUUGCUUUUAGAUCCCUGGUUAGCUGUUAUUGUUAGAGUUCUAGAUAUGGUAAUUUGGGCAAUUUAGACUGAAGCAUGAUAUGACAUUUCUCUUUAUUUAAAUAGAUUUGAUUUCUUUGGUUGCUUAAGAUUUUCUGCAGCUUCAUGCCACCAAGCAUCACUAAUGGCAGUGAUCCCUUCAGUUAUGAUGUUCAAGUCAGAGAUGAGAUUCAACUGAAGUGAUUGUUUUAAAACUGAACCCCAAUUAAACAAAGAUACAAUACUGAAAAAAUACAGGCCUGGGAGUGUAGCUCAAUGGUAGAGCAUGUGUUUACAACGAACAAAGUUCUGGUUUCAAUCCCCAGCAGCAAAACAAACAAACACAUACAAUCUAUAGUAUUUGAGAGAAUACUUUGUAUAUUAAAAAAUACUAUGCAUAUUAAAUGUAUAUUUAAAAAAAUUGUGUCCUGAAUAACCCUUUUCUACAUAAGACUCAUUAUUUCAAAAACCAAAACUUUAUUUUAGGGUUUGUUGUUGUUCGGGUAGCUCUUUUUUUUUAAGUUUUAUAUUUUUAAUUAGUUAUAUAUGACAACAGAAUGCAUUACAAUUUAUAUUACAUAUAUAGAAUCAAAUUUUUCAUAUCUCUGGUUGUACAUAAAGUAGAGUCAUCCUUCAUAUCUUCAUACAUAUACUCAGGGUAAUGACCCUCACAUUCUACAUCUUUCCUACCUCUUUCCUUCCCUUCCCUUCACUUUCCCCCUUUGCCCUAUCUAGAGUUCAUUUAACUCUAGAGUUCAAUUAACUAGAGUUCAUUUAACUCUUCCAUCCCCCUGCCCCCACAGCAUAUUAUGAAUCAGCAUCCUUAAAUCAGAAAAAUCAUUUGACAUUUGGUUUUUUGGGAUUGGCUAAUUUCGCUUAGCAUUAUGUUCUCCAGCUCCAUCCAUUUACCUGCAAAUGUCAUGAUUUUAUUCACUUUUAAUGCUGAGUAAUGUUCCAUUGUGUAUACAUACACCGCAGUUUCUUUAUCCAUUCAUCUACUGAGGGGCAUCUAGGUUGGUUCCACAGUUUAGCUAUUGUGAAUGGUGCUACAACAAACUUGGAUGUGGCUGUGUCCCUGUAGUAUGCUGUUUUUAAGUCCUUUGGGUAUAGACUGAGGAGUAGGAUAGCUGGGUUAAAUGGUGGUUCCAUUCCAAGUUUUCCAAGGAUUCUCGAUACUGCUUUCCAUAUUGGCUGCACCAUUUUGCAGUCCCACCAACAAUGUAUGAGUGUGUCUUUUUCCCCACAUCCUCACCAAAACUUAUUGCUGUUUGUAUUCUUAAUAGCGUCCAUUCUGACUGGAGUGAGAUGAAAUCUUAGAGAAGUUUUGAUUUGCAUUUCUCUAAUUGCUAGAGAUGUUGAACAUUUUUUCAUAUAUUUGUUGAUUGGUUGUAUAUCACCUUCUGAGAAGUAUCUGUUCAGUUCCUUGGCCCAUUUAUUGAUUAGGUUAUUUGUUUUUUUGGAGUUUAGUUUUCUGAGUUCUUUUAUACCAGAGAGAUUAGUGCUCUCUCUGAUAUGCAAGUGGUAAAAAUUUGCUCCCAAGCUGUAGGCUCUCUAUUCACCUCACCAAUUGUUUCUUUUGCUGAGAAGAAGCUUUUUAGUUUGAAUCCAUCCCAUUUAUUAAUUGUUGAUUUUUAAUUCUGGUACUAUAAGAGUCUUGUUAAGGAAGUAGGGGCCUAAUCCGACAUGAUGGAGACUUAGGCCUAGUUUUUCUUCUCUUAGAUGCAGUGUCUCUGGUUUAAUUCCUAGGUCCUUGAUCCACUUUGAGUUGAGUUUUGUUCAUGGUGAGAGAUAGGGGUUUACUUUCAUUUUGUUGAUUUCCAGUUUUCCCAGCACCAGUUUUUAAAGAGGCUACCUUUUCUCCAAUGUACAUUUUUGGCACUUAGUCUAAUAUAAGAUAACUCUAUCUCUGUGUCCUCUAUUCUGUACCAUUGGUCUACUAGUCUGUUUUUGUGCCAAUACCAGCCUAUUUUUGUAGCUAUUGCUCUGUAGUAUAUUUUUAGGUCUGGUAUAGUGAUGUCACCUGCUUCACUCUUCUUGCUAAGGUUUGCAUUAGCUAUUCUGGUUCUCUUAUUUUUCCAGAUGAAUUUCAUGAUUGCUUUUUCUAUUUCUAUGUGGAAUGUGAUUGGGAUUUUGAUUGGAAUUGCAUUGAAUCUGUAUAGUGCUUUUAGUAGUAUGGUCAUUUUGACAAUACUAAUUAUGCCUAUCCAAGAAGAAGGGAGGAGAUCUUUCCAUCUUCUAAGUCUUCUUUAAUUUCUGUCUUUAGCAUUCUGUACUUUUUGUUGUAGAGGUCUUUCUCCUCUUUUGUUUGGUUGAUUCACAAGUUUUUUUUUUUUUUUUUUUGAGGCUUUUGUAGAUGGGAUAGUUUUUCUCAUUUCCCUUUCAGAAGAUUUGUCACAGAUAUACAGAAAUGCCUUUGAUUUAUGGGUGUUGAUUUUGUAUCCUCCUACUUUGGUGAAUUCAUUUACUAGUUGAAGUUUUUGGGUCUUCUAGGUAUUGAAUCAUAUUGUCAGCAAAUAGUCCUAAUUUGAGUUCUAUUUUUACCUAUCCAUAUUUCUUUAAUUUCUUUCAUCUAAUUGCUCUGGCCAGUGUUUCAAGAACUAUGUUAAAUAGAAUUGGUGAAAGAGGGCUUCCCUGUCUUGUUGCACUUUUUAGAGGAAAUGCUUUCAAUUUUUCUCCAUUUAGAAUGAUGUUAGCCUGGAGCUUAGCAUAGAUAGCUCUUACAUUGUUGAGAUAUGUUCCUGUUAUUCCUAGUUUUUCUAGUGUUUUGAACAUAAAGGGGUGCUGUAUUUUGUAGAAUGCUUUUUCUGCAUCUGUUGAGAUGAUCAUAUGGUUCAUAUCUUUAAGUCUAUUGAUGUCAUGAAUUAAAUUUGUUGAUUUCCUUAUGUUGAACCAACAUUGCAUCCCUGGAAUGAAUCCCACUUGAUCGUGGUGUACUAUAAUUUUUGAUAUGUUUUUAGUAUUCUAUUUGCCAGAUUUUUUUUGAUCUGGGCUCAUUAGAGAUAUUGGUCUGAAGUUUUCUUUCUUUGAUGUGUCUUUGCCUGGUUUUGGAAUCAGGGUGAUAUUGGCCUCAUAGAAUGAGUUUGGAAGUGUUCCCUCUUUUUCUAUUUCCUGAAAUAAAUUAAAAAGUAUUGGUAUUAGUUCUUCUUUAAAGAUCUUGUAGAACUUGGCUGUGUAUCCAUCCAGUCCUAGGAUUUUCUUUUUGUUGGUAGGCUUCUGAUGGAGUCUUCUAUUUCAUUGCUUGAAAUUGAUCUGUUUAAAUUGUGUAUAUCAUCCUGAUUCAAUUUGGGCAAAUCAUAUGACUAGAAAUUUGUCGAUGCCUUCAAUAUUUUAAAUUUUAUUGUAGAAUGCUUUUUCUUCAUCUAUUGAGAUGAUCAUAUGGUUCUUUUAGUCUAUUGAUGUGAGAAUUAUAUGUAUUGGUUUCGUCACUGAACCAACAUUGCAUCCCUGGAAUGAACCCUACUUGAUUGUGGUGUACUAUAUUUUAAUAUGUUUUUGUAUUCAAUUUUGCAUUCAAGAUAAUUUCUAAUUAUCUUCUGUAUUUCUAUAGUGUUUAUUGUGAUAUUUCCUUUUUCAUCAUGUUAGUAAUUUGAGUUUUUUCUGUUUGUCUCUUCAUUAGCAUGGCUAAGGGUAUGUCAAUUUUAUUUAUUUUUACAAAGAACCAACUUUUUGUUUUGUCAAUUUUUUCAAUUAUUUCUUUUGUUUCAAUUUCAUCUCUGAUUUUAAUUAUUUACUGUUUUCUACCACUUUUGGUGUAGAUUUGUUCUCCUUUUCCUAGGGUAUUGAGCUGUAAUGUUAAGUCAUUUAUUUGCUGAAUUUUUCUUCUUUUAAGGAAUGAACUCCAUGCAAUGAACUUUCCUCUUAGAACUGCCUUCAUAGCAUCCUAGAGAUUUUGAUAUGUUGUAUCUAUGUUCUCAUUCACCUCUAAAAAUUUUUAAAUCUCCUCCUUGAUGUCUUUUGCUACCCAGUGUUCAUUCAUUAGCAUAUUAUUUAGUCUCCAGGUGUUGGAGUAGCUUUCAUUUCUUAUUUUAUCAUUGACUUCUAAUUUCAUUCCUUAUGAUCUGAUGGAAUGCAGGGAAGUAUCUGUACAUUUUAAUAUUUGCUAAGAGCUGCUUUGUGGCAUAAUAUUAGGUCUAUUUUAGAGAAGGAUCCAUGUUCUGCUUGAGAAGAAAGUUGAAGGAUGAAAUAUUCUAUAUAUGUUAGUUAAGUCUAAGUUAUUGAUUUUAUUAUUAAGUUCUAUAGUUUCUUUGUUCAGCUUUUGUUUGGAAGAUCUAUGUAGUGGUGAAAGAGCUGUGUUAAAGUCACCCAGAAUUAUUGUGUUGUGGUCUAUUUGACUCUUGAACUUGAGAAGAGUUUGUUUGAUGAACAUAGAUUCUUCAUUGUUCAGGGCAUAUAUAUUUAUAAUUGUUAAGUCUUGUUGGUGUAUGUUUCCCUUGAGCAGAACAUAGUGUCUUUCUUUAUCCCUUUUGAUUAACUUUGCCUUGCAGUCUACUUCAUUUGAUAUGAGGAUGGAAACCCUUGCUUGCUUCAGCAGUCCAUAUGAUUGGGUAUGAUUUUUCCCAACCUUUCACCUUCAGUCUGUUGAUGUCUUUUCCUUUGAGAUGAGUCUUGUAGAGACUUGUUGGGUCUUUUUCUUUUUUCUGACCCAAUCUGCUAGUCUAUGUCUUUUGAUUGGUGAGUUUAGGCCAUUAACAUUCAGGGUUAUUAUUGAGACAUGAUUUGUAUUCCCAGACAUUUUUGUUUAUUUUUGGUAUUUAACUUGACUUGGUUUCUCUUCUGAUUUGUUUUUCCUUUAGUGUAAUACCUCUCUCUGCUGAUAUUCAUUGUUGUUUUUCAAUUCCUCUUGGUGGAAUAUUUUGCUGAGGAUGUUCUAUAGUGCAGGCUUUCUAGUUGUAAACUCUUUUAACUUUUGUUUAUCAUGGAAGGUUUUUAUGUCAUCAUCAAAUCUAAAGCUUAAUUUUGCUGGAUAUAAGAUUCUUGGUUGGCAUCCAUUUUCUUUCAGAGCUUGGUAUAUGUUGUUUCAUGAUCUCCUGGCUUUGAGGUCUGGGUUGAAAAAUCUGCCGAGAUAUGAAUUGGUCUCCCCCUAUAUGUGAUCUGAUUCCUCUCUCUUGUGGCUUUUAAGAUUCUAUCCUUAUUCUGUAUGCUAGGCAUUUUCAUUAUAAUUUGCCUUGGUGUAAAUAUGUUGUAAUUUUGUACAUUUGGUGUCUUGUAAGCCUCUUGUAUUUGGUUUUCCAAUUCAUUCUUUAUGUUUGGAACAUUUUCUGAUAUUAUUUCAUUGAAUAGAUUGCUCAUUCCUUUGGUUUGGAACUCUAUUUCUUCCUCUAUCCCAGUGACUCUUAAAUUUGUUUUUUUUUUAUGUUAUCCCAUGUUUUUUGAAUGUUCUGUUCAUGUUUUCUUACAAGUCCAACUUUAUUCUUCAGAUUGUAUAUUUUGUCUUUAUUAUCUGACAUUCUUUCUUCAAAGUGAUCUGUUCUGUUGCUUAUGCUUUCUAUUGAGUCUUUUAUUUGUUUUAGUAUUUUCUUCAUUUCAGGGAUUUCUGACUUUUUUUUUCAGAGUCUCUAUCUCUUUCUUGAAGUAAUCUUUUGCUACCUGUAUUUGUUCUCUUAUCUCUUUGUUGGAUCAAUUUUGCCUGUAUUUGCUCAUUUAGGUCAUUCUUUAAUUCACAGAUCAUUUUAAUUAUGAACCUUCUGAAUUCCUUCUCUGAUAUUUCAUCAACUUCACUGUCCAUGGGUUCUGAUAUUAUAGUAUCCUGGUUUGUUUGAGGAACUUUCCUCCAUUGUUUUUUCAUGUUGUCUAUGUGUCUUUUCUCACAGUGUGGAUUUGAGAUAUUACAGUUUCUUCCCUAGAUUCUUGUAGCACCUGUGCUGAUUGUCUAUGCUUCACCUUGAUGUUGGGCUUCCAGACCCUGCUGCUGUCCCUCAAUGUAUGCUACUGCAACUAAAGAUGGUGGCAGCAAUAGCCGAGAUAAUGGUGAAGGUGCCCCAAGAUGGGUGCAAUGUUUUACAGAAAUGGGGCUGAUAGGGUGGGCCUUAUACUGUCUUUGGCAUGCCUGCUCUGAGAUGUAGCUGCUUCUAGGCCCUGUCUGUUGUCAAAAAUAUAGGGGCUACUGUGUGAGGAAGGCUAUGGUGAUGUCUGCAGUGUUCCAAGAUGGAGGUGGGUUAGGCUUGGGUUCCCAGGUGGUGGUGGUGGGGUGGCGAACUUGGACUUACCCUGGGCCUGGGUCUCAUGUAUGUCAGUGUGGGCAGAUCUGGGCCAAGCCUGAGCUCCUGUGGUGGUCUGGUGGUUGGAAGAAGUGGUCCUGUUCCAGAGUCUGAGCUCUGAAGGUUGUCUGCCAGUGGCGGGAUAAACUGGGGCCUAUUGUGAGCUUGUGUCCUACGCAGAUCAGUGUGGGCAAUUCUGGUUCGGAUAGCUCUUAAGAACAUGCUCCAACAUGUUCAUUUUGAUUUGUGGAACUUCAGUUUAUUUAUUUCAGCCUCUUAUUCUUGCCACUUUUUUGUUAUCUUCUCAGCUCAGCUCCUUAGCCAAUCACCUCUGCAACUUCAAACACCAAAACUUCAAUCAUUCACUUUCUGAUACAAUGAACAUAUUAAUGUUCCAAUUCUCCUCAUCAUCCUUCUUUUACCAUCAACCUGUCCUCAUUGAAGUCAGUUUUGUCAAACUUGAGAAAUUUUGUACUAUCUUUUAUUAUUUCAAUCCCUAUAUUUUGCCAUAAUUUUAACCUGAUAAUUAAAAAAAAAAAAACCCAGACCUGAAUUUACACUGUUAUGAUUGCAGCAAUAUUAUUCAUUUCAAAGCCAGGUAAAGUGGCAUGACUACAUUAUCUUUUCUACCAACGCAAUGCCAGAAAUUUGUGUUGUUAGAUGGAAAAUGUUCUUAGGAUUGGGUACAAAUAUAAUGUCCUAUUUUAUGCUGAGAUGAUUUUUUAAUCUUUAAGAUUUUUGAGUAUUCUUGAUUGGUAUUCUGCUGAUGUUUCCCAUUUAUUCUCAUUUUUAUGGUAGUUUAUACCUUUAAAGGAUGUAUUUACAACAUUUUAAUAGCACCUCAGAUGGAAAUAGGUAUGAACAAAUCAUCAUUAUAAUUAUUAAAAAUUGUAUAAGCUAUAUAAUGCUGAAGUAAAGAUGGUACAUGGAGAGUCUUUUAAAGAAAAGAUAAUGCCUAUCAUCAUAGGAACAGUGAAAUUCAGAGUUUUCUAUUUAAAAAUCAGGAAACCACAGCAGUAUAAAUUAACUUGGCAAACAUAACCAACUGGCAAAUAUUAAUCUAGAAUGAACAAUUCUGUCUGAAAGUUAUUUUCUUCUUACCUGAUAACAGUUGAUUUUAAUGGUACCUGAUGAUCAUUUUUUUUUUUUGCUCAAAGAAUUAGAAUUUGGUGUACCCAGCAGCUUUACAUAAUUCAAGUCAAUGAGACUCCGUAAAUAUUUUAUUUUCAGUAGUUUUGACUCUAGACAUGAUAUAUUCUUAGGGAGAAGCUAGAGAAUAUUUACUAAGCUAUUCUUAAAACUUUUAGAGGAAGCUUAUAGCUCGUGAAGGUUUUUACUUUCUAAUUAGAGAUUCCUUUCAGGGGAAAAAAUCUCUUUUAAACAUCCUUUUGAUGAAUUAUUUAACUCACAACAUUUUAUUUAAUCAUAUUGCAGUUAAAUUUUAACUGGAGCUAAAAUAAGUCUUGGUUGUUAUAUAUAUUUUCAGAACUUAAAUUAUAUGUUUGAACCAUUUUGUUAAAGGAAACAAAAUAAAAUAAUUUCAGCAUACAUAGUCAUAAUUUCCUAUUUAUUUCAAUGAAGUGUCAAGGGCUACAGAAAAAUAUUUCUCUGUUUGGACACUUAUAACUGGAAAAAAAAAAGGACAUUAUAUAACAGGUUACAUUACUAAUGUCCCUGAGAUUAUGUGCACUGAGUAUUUUGUUAGUCUACCAAUACUACAGGGUUUAGAUUUUGAGGAGUAAAGUAAAAAAAACACAAAUUCAGCAUAAUACUGGAUUGUCAAUUGACUCUUUUUGUAAAAAAAAUUCAGAAAUUUUAUUUUUUUUACUUAUACAUGAGAGUACAGUCCAUAUAUAUAUAUAUAUAUAUAUAUAUAUAUAUAUAAUUUUACAAGCAUGAAAUAUAUCUUUUUCUAAUUAGGACCCCAGUCUUGUGGAUUUACAUGAUGGUGAGAUUCACUGUACAUGUACAUAGGACAGUUAUGUCAAAUUCAUUCCACUGUCUUUCCUUCUCCUAUCCUCCCUCCCUUCCCUUCAUUCUCCUUUCCCUAAUCCACUGAACUUCUAUUUUUACCCUCAUACCCUCAUACCCUCCCCUCCUCUUAUUGUGGUUUAGCUUCCACACAUCAGAGAAAACAUUCAAACUUUGGUUUUUAUGGGAUUGGCUUAUUUCACUUAGUAUGAUAGUCUUCAGAUCCAUCCAUUUACCAGCAAAUGUCAUAAAGUCAUUCUUCUUUGUGGCUGAGUUUUGUGAGUAUGUACCACAUUUUCUUUAGCCAUUCAUCUGUUGACAGAUACCUAAGUUGGCUCCAUAGCUUAGCUAUUGUGAAUUGUGCUGUUAUUAACAUGGAUGUGGCUGUGUCAUUGUAGUAUGCUCAUUUUAAAUCCUUUGGAUAUAUACUGAGAAGUGGGAUAACUUGGUCAAAUGGUGGUUCCAUUCCUAGUUUUUUGAGGAAUCUCCAUGCUGCUUUCCAGAGUGGUUGCACCAAUUUGCAGGUCCACUAACAAUGUAUGAGUGUACUUUUUUUCCCACAUCUUCACCAAAAUUUAUUGUUACUUGUAUUCUUGGUCAUUGCCAUUUUGACCUCAGUGAGAUGAAAUCUCUGGGCAGGUUUAAUUUACAUUUCUCUAAUUGCUAGAGUUGUUGAACGUUUUUUUUCAUAUAUUUAUUAAACAUUCAUAUUUCUCCUCUUGAGAAGUAUCUGUUUAGUUCCUUUGCCCAUUUAUUAAUUGAGUCAUUUUUUGUUUUUUAUGUUUAGUUUUUUGAGUUCUUUGUAUAUCCUGGAGGUUGAUGCUCUAUCUAAAGUGUGGGUGGCAAAGUUUUUCUCUCAUUCUGUAGGGUCUCUCUUCAUGCUCUUGAUUGUUUUUUGGUGUAAAGAAGCUUUUUAGUUUGAUGUAAUCCCAUGUAUUGAUUUUUAAUUUUACUUCUUGUGUUUUAAGAGUCCUGUUAAGAAGUCAGUUCCUGAGCCACCAUGUUUUCUUCAAGGAGGUGUAGGGUUUAUGGUCUAAUUCAUAGGUCUUUGAUCCACUUUGAGUUUUGUUUUUGCCAGGUGAGAGACAGAUGUUAAAUUUCAUUUACCUACAUAUGGAUUUCCAGUUUUUCAAUCACCAUUUGUUGAAGAGGCUCUUUUCUCCAAUAUAUGUUUUGGUGCUUUGUCUAGUAUAAGAUAACUCUAUUUGUGUGGGUUUGUCUCUGUGUUUUCUAUUCUAUCCCAUUGGUCUUCAUGCCAAUUUUUUGCCAGUACCAUGUUGGGUUUUUUGUUGUUGUUGUUGUUAUUGUAGCUCUGUAGUAUAAUUUAAGGCCUGGUACGCCUCCUGCUUUGCUUUUCUUGCUAAGGAUUUCUUUGGCUAUUCUGGGUCUCUUAUUUUUCCAAAUAAAUUUCAUGACUCAUGACUACUUUUUCUAUUUCUCUAAAGAAGUCAUUGAAAUUUUAAUGUGACUGGCAUUAAAUAUGUAUAGUGUCUUCAGUAGUAUGGGCAUUUUGGCAUUCAAUUGAAACUAAAAUAAUAAAAUUCUAUUUCCAUCAUAAUUUUUCUCCAAUAUUAUUUCUUAUAAAGUCUUGUUGAGAUUAUAGUUUCAGAGUAAAUGCUGUGUCAAUAUGAAUUCAUUAAAAACUAAGAGCUAGCAGACUUAAAGAAGAAUUAAAUUAUGGCAUUUUCCAGUAAAUGGAUGAAACUGGAGAAUGUCAUGCAAAGCAAAAUAAGCCAAUCCCAGAAAACUAAAGGCCAAAUGUUUUCUCUGAUAUGCAGAUGCUAAUUCACAAUAAGGACAAUAAGGGGGAUUGCUAGGGAAGAAUAGAGGUACUUUGGCUUAGACAGAGGGGAGUGAAGGGAGAGGAGGGGGUCUGGGAGUAGGCAUGAUAAUAGAAUGAAGUGGACAUUAUUAUACUAUGUGCAUAUAUGAUUAUAUGACCUGUGUAACUCUACAUCAUGUGUAACCAGAAGAAUGAGAAGUUAUACUCCAUUUAUGUAUGAUGAAUCAAAAUGCAUUCUACUAUCAUGUGUAACUAAUUAGAACAAAUUUAAAAAAGAAUAAAAACACUAAGAGCCAGGAUACCCAAACUCAACCAUCUUUAUAAUCAGACAAUGGAGGCAUUGAGAAUUUAAAUGCUAUCUUCAAAUAGAUCAACACCUAAUUGCUAGCAGACUUGAGAGUAUCUCAAAAAAAUUUAUUAUGUUAUGCUUUCAUUUUCAUUGUGUCCAAAAUAUUUAAGAAUUUCUCUUGUAAUGUCUUUGAAACCUGAUUAUUUAGAAAUGUUUUAUAAUUUCUAAACAUUUGGAAAUUUUGCAGAUCUUUUAUUUUUGUUGUUGUUGAUUUGGGAUUUAAUUCCAUUGGGCCAGAUAAUAUGAUUCAAUUCCCUUUUUAGCACAAAAUAUAGUCUGUUUUGUGAUGAGCUUUGUGUGUACUUGAAUAAUAAUAAUAAUAAUAAUAAUAUUUUUUACUGUUGUUGCAGCAACACUAGUGGUGUUGCUGAACUUGCUGAGAAGCUGCAGUGCUACCUGCAGAACUUUCUGGAAAGCUGGCCAUAGGUAUGUCAUUAGACUUUGCUGGAGGAAAGUUCAACUAGAUGUCCUACUUGUCAGCAAAAUACUGCAGGAUAAAAAAGGGAAAAACACCUAGGAAAGAUGUCCCAUCUUUGGUAGUGCAGACUCUUUCUAGUGGUGAAGCUUAACAUCUUUCCAGGUGGGAGAGAUUCAGUUCCAUUACCACAAACAAGGAAAUAAAGAAUUGAUUUGCAGCUGAUAGGCAACAGAUUUGUAAAUGGCACACUUAGAACAAUAGCACUUACAUAACUCUUGGUAACAUUAUUAAAAUAGUCUUAUUCUCUCUAUUGCACUGUAACUAGCAGAGGAAUGAGAUCAUCAGUGAAGACUACGAAUUAAUACCUUGGGUAUCCACAAAAUAAGUGGAAUCAUAUGCUAGUUUUCAUAAUUUUCAUUUUUAUUUAUCAAUGAACUAAAAUUAAAAUGUCUACAAAUAAAUAGAGUCAUCAAUAGAUGGUGCUAUAUGCCUAUAUAUAUUUUUUAGAGAAGUUGAUAUUUACUUUUCCCUUUAUAAAAUUGUCUUUAAAAGUUGUAUACUUUAACCUAUAUUUAAGAAUUUUACAAAAAUUCUUAAAAUUUAAUUUAUAUUAAUUAAACUAGGCAUAUUUUAGCAGAACAUAAAAAAAUUGCAAGUAAUAUUGGGAAGCUCAGUACUCUGUGUCUGCUGUUGGAAUGAAAUAUAAGGAUAGAAUUUGGAGAGAAGAUGGUGAGCCAGAGGGAGGCAGCAUUCUGUGUUGCUCUGUGACCUGGGACUCAAGUUGUGAGAUAUUGCUUCUCUGCAAGCCAUAUUCCUGCUCCUGUGUGGGAAUCAUGGUCACCAUGCCCCUACAGGGCUCCAGGCCCCAGUGUGAGAGUAGGUCUCCCAACUACUCAUCCAUGCAGGACUACUGGAUACCUGAGUGGAACCAUCAACACCCAUGCAGAACUUUUGGCUACCCACCUGAGCAGAAAUCACUAAAACUACACCUGCCCAGGACAUCCGGCAGCUUCCCACAUGCAGGAACUCCAGCCGCCACUCCUAUGUGAACCCCCAUCUACCAACGCAGGGCUCCACUGGUCGCCGCCAUCUUGGGACUCUGCAGCAGUGAAGAUACUGCACAGUGGCCUGCCUGCACUGAGAGAACGUCACACAGGCUCUGACGUAAGCUGACUGCCACACACUGCACAAGCUAGUCUCUGAACUCAUCCUCCAAUGCCAUUGCUUGGCUUCCACCACACAACCUGACAGCUCACCACUGAAAGCAGGCGCCUCCAUCUUGGGCCACCUUCAUGGAACUCUGGCUGACCCCAGGUACCCAGCUUCUAACUGCCCCCUCUCCCCACCAGUUGCCACUCUGGCACAGUGACACCCAGAUUAACUUCACUACUCUGAAGGCGGAGAUACCAGCUAAUAACAGAAGACCCUGCCUAUUGGAUGAGAAGGGAAGCAUGAAAGAUACAGAUCUCCAACCAAAACAAUCCUGUUUCUCCCUUUAAGAUUUUUUUUCCCUCUCUCCCUCUCUAUUCUCCCAUCCUCACAUCCCCAACAUAUGUAAAACUAAGUACUUUGCAUGAAGUAGGAUUUGAGAACUGGGACGUCUGAAUAGUAUAUUACAGCUGUGUUUUGCAUGUGUGUGCCUAUCUUUUAUCUUGCCAAUUUCUACUAUUUGAAAAUUUUUAAUUUUUCUCAAUAUAUAUGUGUGUUUGUUUUAUGUACUCUGCUAUCUUCCCAAUUAUUUGUCUACCCAAAAUUACUUCUUCUCCCUUCUCCUGCUACUAGCCUUCCUCUUUAGAUUUCUAUUUCACAUUUCCUAAGAUAUAACAACUCUAUAUCCUCACCUCCUACCUCCUCAGCAUAUCAUCCUUCUCCUUACUCCCAUUUUCUUUGUCCACCAUCAGAAACUGUAAGCCCUUUUACAAACCUACUGAAUAUAUUGUAGAUAAUAAUUGAAUUUACCAUUUCUGUACAUUGUGACCAAACUGUAAACAUCUUAAUAGCAAGUAUUUUUUUUUAGGGUGUAUACUAUUUAUAUUGAUAUCUGAUAACAUUGUCCUUCACCUCAAAGAAGAGAUAUUGGAUCCCUACAGGGGCACUAUAAGCCUACAGGGUAAAAAGGGUAAUGCCUCAGAUCUACAGUGCCAGAAGGGAAGACAUAUAAGCAAUAUGAAAAGACAGGGGAAGAAAGUUCCCCAAAUAUAUAAAGAUACCACAUUAUUAGAAUCCAUGGUAAGCACAGCAGAAGAAAUUAAAGAGAAGGAGUUCAGGAUGUACAUAUUAAAAUGUUCUGGGAAUUAAAGGAUACUAUAAGAGAGCAAAUACAGGCAGCAAAAAUCAUUUCGAGAAAGAGCUAAACAAAUACAGGAAGCAAAAGAUUACUUCAAUAGGGAGAUAGAGGUUCUAAAACAAACAAAUAGAAAUCUUUGAAAUUAAAGAAACAAUAAACCAAAUUGAAAGCAUCACCAACAGAUUAGACCACUUGGAAGACAGGACCUCAGACAAUGAGGACAAAAUAUAUAAUCUUGAAAACAAUGUAGACAACACAGUAACAAUGGUAAGAAAACAUAAGCAGAACAUUCAAGAAAUAUGGGAUAACAUAAAAGACCAAAUUUAACAGUUAUUGGGAUAGAGGAGGGAAUAGAGUUCCAAACCAAAGUAAUGAGCAAUCUAUUCAAUGAAAUAAUAUCAGAAAAUGUUCCAAACAUGAAAAAUGAAUUGGAAAACCAAAUUCAAGAGGCUUACAGGACACCAAAUGUACAAAUCCAUACCAAGGCAUAUUAUAAUGAAAAUGCCUAACAUACAGAAUAAGGAGAGUUUUAAAAGCCAUGAGAGAAAGGAAUCAGAUUACAUUUAGGAGAAAACCAAUUAGAUUAUGUCCAGAUUUCUUUAACCCAGAACCUGAAAGCUAGAAAAUCCUGAAACAACAUAUAUCAAGCUCUAAAAGAAAAUGGAUGCCAACCAAGAAUAUUAUAUCCAACAAAAUUAAUCUUUAGAUUUGAUGAUGAAAUAAAAACUUUCCGUGAGAAACAAAAGUUAAAAGAAUUUACAACUCGGAAGCCUGAACUACAGAACAUCCUCAGAAAAUAUUUCAUAAGGAAAAACUGAAAAACAACAAUGAAAAUCACUAAAGGGAGGUAUUACACUAAAGGAAAAACUAAUCAAAGGAGAAACCAAGUCAAGUUAAAUAACAAAAAUGCCUGGGAAUACAAAUCAUGUAUCAGUAAUAACCCUGAAUGUUAAUGGCCUAAACUCACCAAUCAAAAGACAUAGAUUGGCAGAUUGGAUUUAAAAAAGACCCAACAAUAUGCUGCCUCCAAGAGACUCAUCUCAUAGGAAAAGACAGCUACAGAUUGAAGGUGAAAAAUUGGGAAAAAUCAUACCACUCACAUGGACUGCCGAAGCAAGCAGGGGUUUCCAUCCUCAUAUCAAAUAUAGUAGACUUCAAACUAAAGUUAAUCAAAAGGGAAAAAGAAGAACAUUUUGUAUGGCUUAAGGGAAAGAUUCAUGAAUAAGACAUAACAAUAAUAAAUUUAUAUGCCCCUACAUUCAUCAAACAUAGUCUUCUCAAGUUCAAGAGUCAAACAGAGCACAACACAAUAAUUCUGGGUGACUUUAACACAAAUCUUUCACCACUGGAUAGAUCUUCCAAACAAAAGCUGAAAAAUGAAACUAUAGAACUCAAUUAAACAAUCAAUAAAUUAGACUUAACUGACAUAUACAGAAUAUUUUAUCCUUCAACCAGCGAAUACACUUUCUUCUCAGCAGCAUAUGGAUCCUUCUCUAAAACAGGCCAUAUAUUAUGCCACAAAGCAAAUCUUAUCAAAUAUAAAAUAGUAGAGAUCUAUUAGAUCACAAUGGAAUGAAAUUAAAAGUCAAUAAAAAAUAAGAAUAAAAGCUGCUCCAACACCUGCAGACUAAAUAAUUUGCUACUGAAUGAACAAUGGGUUGCAAAAGACAUCAAGGAGGAGAUUAAAAAAUUCUUAGAGGUGAAUGAGAACACAGAUACAACAUAUCAAAAUCUCUGGGACACUAUAAAGCCUACCAACCAAAAAAAGCCCAGGACCGGAUGGAUACAUAGCUGAGUUCUACAAGAUCUUUAAAGGAGAACUAAUUCCAAUACUCGUCAAUUUAUUUCUGAAAAUAGAAAAAGAGGGAGCACUUCCAAACUCAUUCUAUGAGGCCAAUAACACCCUGAUUCCAAUAACAGACAAAGACACAUCAAGCAAAGAAAACUUCAGACCAAUAUCUCUAAUGACAUAGAUGCAAAAAUUCUCAAUAAAAUUCUCACAAAUUGAAUACAAAACAUAUCAAAAAGAUUGUCCACCAUGAUCAAAUGGGAUUCAUCCCAGGGAUGCAAGGUUGGUUCAACACAUAGAAAUCAAUAAAUGUAAUUCAUCACAUCAAUAGACUUAAAGAUAAGAACCAUAUGAUCAUCUCAAUAGAUGCAGAAAAAACAUUUGACCAAAUACAGCACCCCAUUAUGUUCAAAACAUUAGAAAAUUAGAAAUAACAGGAAUAUAUCUCAACAUCAUAAAAGCUAUCUAUGCUAAGCACUAAGCCAACAUCAUUAUAAAUAUAAAAAAAUUGAAAUCAUUCCCUCUAAAACCUGGAACAAAACAGGGAUGCCCUCUUUCACCACUUUUAUUUAACACAGUUUUUGAAACACUGGCCAGAUCAAAUAGACAGAAAAAAGAAAUUAAAGGAAUAUUGAUAGAUAAAGAAGAAUUCAAAUUAGCACGAUUGUCAAUGACAUGAUUCUAUACCUAGAAGACCCAAAAAAUUCCACCAGCAAACUUCUAGAACUAGUAAAUGAAUUCAGCAGAGUAUCAGGAUACAAAAUCAACACCCAUAAAUCAAAGGCAUUUCUGUAUAUCAGUAACAAAUCCUCUGAAAUGGAAAUGAGAAAAACUAUCCCAUUUACAAUAGAAUCAAAAUAAAUAAAUAAAUAAAAUACUUGGAAAUCAACCCAAUGAAAGAGUUGAAAUACCUCUACAAUGAAAGUACAGAAAACUAAAGAAAGAAAUUAAAGAAGACCUUAGAAGAUGGAAAGAUCUCCCUUGUUCUUGGAUAGGAAGAAUUAAUAUUGUCAGAAUGAGCAUACUACCAAAAGCAUUAUGCAGAUUUAAUGCAAUUCCAAUCAAAAUUCCAAUAACAUUCCUCAUAAAAAUAGAAAAAGCAAUCAUGAAAUUCAUCUGGAAAAAUAAGAGACCCAGAAUAGCUAACACAAUCCGUAGCAAGAAGAGUGAAGCAGGUAACAAUCACUAUACCAGACCUUAAACUAUACUACAGAGAAAUAGUAACAAAAAUAGCAUGGCAUUGGCAACAAAAUAGACUUAUAGGCCACUGGUACAGAAUAGAGGACACACAGACUAACCCACAUAAUUGCAUUUAUCUUAUAUUAGACAAAGGCACCAAAAAUGUACACUGGAAAAAAGAUAGUCUCUUCAACAAAUGAUGCUGGGAAAAUUGGAAAUCCAUAUGCAACAAAUGAAAUUAAACCCCUAUCUCUCACCAUGCACAAAACUCAACUCAAAGUGGAUCAAAGACCUGGAAUUAAACCAGAGACCUUGCACCUAGUGGAAGAAAAAAUUGGCCCAAAUCUCCAUAAUGUUGGAUUAGGCCUCUACUUCCUUAAGAAGACUCCUAUAGUGCAAAAAUUAAAAUCAACAAUUAAUAAAUAGGAUGAAUUCAAACUAAAAAUCUUCUCAUCAAAAGAAACAAUCAGUGAGGUGAAUAGAGAGCCUAGAGCUCAGGAGAAAAUUUUUAACACUUGCACAUCAGAUAGAGCACUAAUCUCUAGGGUAUAAAAGAAAUCAAAAAACUUAACUCCAAAAAAGACAAAUAAUCCAAUCAAUAAAUGGGCAAAGUAAAUGAAAAGACACUUUUCAGAAAGUGACAUACAAUUAAUCAGCAAAUAUAUGAAAAAAUGUUCAACAUCUCUAGCAAUUAGAGAAAUGCAAAUCAAAACUACUCUAUGUCAGGGACUAGAAGGAAAUUCUUCUUCAAAGAUUAGCCUGACAGUCCCCUGGGAGACAUCCUGCCUGGGAGGCAUCCUGCAGCUACCUAUCUCCCUGGAACAUCCUGCGGUUAUCAGGAUCAUCAGACAUCUUGCACCUGGCAGUUUUACCACCCACAUCCAGCAAUUGCUGAUUAGAGAGCUUCCCUAUCCCCAGCAUAUAAAUACCCCUGUGUGAACAAUAAAAAUUUGCAGCUUGAUCAGACCCCUGUCUUGCUGUCACCUUUCCUGUCUCUUGUCCCUUCAUUCCUCCCCAUCUAGGUUCGCUGCCCACAUUGAUGGUGUCCUGCCGGACUGGACAACUCUAAAAUUUCAUCUCACUCUAGUCAGAAUGGCAGAUAUUAAGAAUACAAACAACAACAAGUGUUGGUGAGGAUGUGGGGAAAAAGACACACUCAUACACUGCUGGUGGAACUACAAAUUGGUGCAGCCAGUAUGGAAAGCAGUAUGGAGAAUCCUUGGAAAACUGGGAAUGGAACCAUCAUUUGACUCAGCUAUCCCACUCCUCAGCCUAUACCCAAAGGACUUAAAAACAGCAUACUACAGGGACACAGCCACAUCAAUGUUUAUAGCAGCACAAUUCACAAUAGCUAAAAUGUGGAACCAACCUAUGUGUCCAUCAGUAGAUGAGUGGAUAAAGAAAAUGUGGUGUAUAUACACAAUGGAAUAUUACUCAGCAAUAAAAGAGAAUAAAAUCAUGGUAUUUGCAGAUAAAUGCAUAAAUUUGGAGAAUAUAGUGGUAAGUGAAGUAAGCCAAUCCCCAAAAACCAAAUGCCAAAUAUUUUCUCUGGUAUAGGGAGGCUGAUUCAUAAUAGGGUUGGAAGGGGAAGCAUGGGAAGAUUAGACAACUGUAGAUAGGGCAAAGAGGAGAGAGGGUAAGGGAAGUGGCAAGGGGGUAAAAAAAGAUGGUGGAAUGAGAUGGACAUCACUACCCUAAGUACAUGUAUGAAGAAGACACGAAUGGUGUGAAGAUACUUUGUGUACAAGCAGACAGAUGAAUUCCUGCGUGUGUGAAGCUGCUGAGUGUCCUGUGUGGUAGCGGCAUCUGUGAUUUCUGCUCAGGUGGUUGGCUGAAAGUUCUGCAUGGGUGUUGAUGGUCCCGUUUGGGUACCUGAUAGUCCCAUGUGGGUGAGUAGUUGGGAGACCUACUCUGAUUCUGAGGCCUGGAGCCCUGGACAGGCAUGGUGGCUAUGAUUCCUGAGUGGCAACAGGAAUAUUGCUUGCGGAGAAGCAGUAUUCUCACUACUUGAGUCCCAGAUCAAGGAGUGACACAGAAUACUACCUCCCUCUGGCCUGCCAUCUUGGAUCUCCUCUUGAAGACAAUAUUUUUAAAUGAAAUUCAUUUGUCGUUCCUACAGAGGAUUGUUUCACCUGCCCCUAUCUAGUUUGUGAUUUUAUUAUCUUUAUCCAGUUCUCCUUUCAUUUUUGCUUUGUUACAAUGAGGAAUAUUCAACCAAUUUUCAUUUUCUAUAAUUUCUCUAAUGUCAAUUCAUACAAAAUUAAGAAGCCAGGUUUGGUAGAGCACAGUCUGUAAUCCCAACUGAUUGGGAGGCUGAGGGAGAAGGAUUCAAGUUUAAUGGCAGGGUGGGCAACUUACUGAGACUGUCUGGGGGGAAAAAAAAAGACAAAUAAAUUGCAAGUCUGGGGGAUGUAACUCAGUGGCAGAGCGCUUUCCCAGCAGCCAAGCCCUACAUUUAAUCCCUGAUACUACACAAAUGGCGGGGGGAGGUGCAGACGGAGAGAGAAAGUGGUGGGGGGUGGAGGAAGAAAGAGGAACAGAGAGAGAGGAGAAAGGGGGAGAGGAAGAUCGAUAUGUAUGAUAGAACAGCUCAACUGGAGGUGUCAGGGAAUGAGAGGAGGGCAUCCUACAGCAAGCAAGGAUGUGGGUAUGCAGGGCCCACGCAGCCUAAGGAGGGAAUCCCUGGGGCAGAACAGAAUGCAUGCACGGGCCUGGAGGUCUGAGUGCGCUGCAGAUACCCACAAAUGGCACAGAUGGGUGGUCUGAAGUGGAGUGUUGGGUCCGCGGACUUGAAGGAAAGAUCAUCCUGCAUGAUCUUGAAUGCCAGAGCGGGAGCAGAAGGAAGCUCAGGGGCGAGGCAGCUCUGUCUGCUCUGGGAAGUCAGAGCCGGAGAAGCACGUUUCCCAGUGGCCCAGACAGCCCAGUAGAGGGGUAUUAAGGGCAAAAAUGGGUCUCAGCUCAUUUGGAUCAGAAUAAACUUUGUAUCCUAGGGUGAAAUACUCUCGUCAUGGCCAUGACACCCAGUGGUCCUUCUUGUUAUCUUAAUAACAAGAACUGUUUCAAUUCUUUGGAUUUUAAGAAGCUCCAUAUUUUACAGUUCUCAAUUCAGGAUAUGCCCCGAGAAAGAAGGAAAAGAUGUUCUUGGAAUAGUUGGUCUCCUUGGUUCUUAGGGAAAUCUGACCAGCAUCUUCUACCAGUGGAGGGCGGGGCUUCCUCAUCAUGUCUAAAAAUUAUAGAAUGUCACACAGACUUCUUGUUAGUCCUCCCUGGUGAGGCAUGAUAGCCUCUGUUCACUUUGCAGGACCUCAGAAUGCACUUAACCUCUCUGUCAAUGAGCACUCUUAGGCUCUUCAUGCUUUGGGAAUCCCUGUCUUCCACUUACACGUCUAUGCCUCAAAUAUCUGAUUUCAAAUAUGAAAUAGAAUUUUCAGGACUGACUUUCAUCUCAUUCAAUAUUGAAGGGCAACCCCUGCCCUACCACACUCCUCAAGAGAGUUUAAGUUUCGAACAGAAAACUCUAUAACAGAACAGCCAAUGCUCACUUUGUUGCCCAUUCCAUUUUCAGUUAAGAUGUUGUUUUUUAAACUUGAAAUUAAACCAUAUCCCUCUAUCUUUGACCCAUCAGAACUCAUUGUAUGCUUGAGCAUCUCGAGAAAUGGAGUAUGACUCUUCUUUCUCAGGACAUCCAUUCAUGUACUUCUAGCAACAGGCUUUGUAUGGUUAUCUUUUUUUAUUGUAAUUCAUCUUAACAUGUUCUUUCCUCCUGUGUGUGUGUGUGUAUGUGUGUGUGUAUGUGUGUGUGUGUGUUUGUAUGUGUGCACUGGGCAUUGAACCCAGGGUUUCUCUAUCACUAAACUACAUUCUCAGCUUCUUAAUAUUAUUAUUAUUAUUUUUUUAUCUUGAGACAUGAUCUAGCUAAGCUGCCCAGGCUGACCUUGAAUUUGCCCUCCUUGCUGGGAUUGCAAGUGUGUGCCAAGGUACCUGGCUUAUGUUCCCGUUUUUUGGUGCUCCUUUUGUGCGUAUGAAUCCAGAACUAUAUAUAAAAGCCAAAAUUAUUUCAUUUUCGGAUUUUUGACAUUUAUUUAAUUUAGUAUGCCCAUGUAUAUAAAUUAAGUCUAUGUACUAUGUUCUCAGUUAUACAGUAAAUCUAAAACUCUGAAAAAAGUGUUUAACUACAAUUUUAGAAAAUUUUAAAAUAAGAAUACUGCUGAAAUAUUUAAUUCAAAAUAUAGAAAUCACACAUUUAUACACAUAGAUAAACCUUCAUAAAUUUUUAGAAAAGCUUGAAAUCUCACUAUUAGUACUUAUUGUGUAAGUUUAAAUAAGACACUUAAUUUGAGAAGGCCAGUUUCCUUAUUCAGAAUAUGAGAGAUUGGGGUUAGAUGGUCUCUAGGGUUUUUUUUUUAAUAUUUAUUUUAAUUUAAAAGGCAAUAUCUUUUGUUCACAUGUUAUUUUCAGCAGAACUUAGACUUUAUACCAGAACAUUUCAGUUACUUACUAAGUUAGUACAGCAAAAAGCUUUUCUGACAGUUUUUGUAAUGUUCCAUAAGAUGGUGCUAUAUCGCCAUGAGAAAAUGUUUAUAGUUUCCAUUUCACAAAGCUUGGUAUUAAGCGGUUGGUAUCCCUAUCUGUUGAGUUGCAUCUAUUCUUUCAAACACUAUUGGAGAAAAAACCCUAAUGAAUCAAUCUAAUUAAUAAAAGAAUUAACUUGUAUGAAAAUGUAUUAUUUUAACUAGAGGUUAGUAAACUUUAGUUAUAUUAAGAUUUUUAGAUCAUAUCAUAAUCUCCAUUGCAGCCACUCAAAUCUGCCAUUUUAACCUAAAAGUAACCAUGGAAAAUACAUCCACAAAGGGGGAAACCAUGUACAGAAACCCAAUUUAUUUACAAAAACAAGUGAUCAGACCAUGCGCUACAAUUUGAUGACCUGUGAUAUAAAUCACACAGGAAACUGAGUUUCCACCUGAUCAGUGACUAUUUGUACUGAGCCAAAAUAGGUACUUUCAUUAGAUGGACAAACUUCAGGGUGUAUUCUUUCUGAUCUUUGCCUGGUGGUAUUCACCCCUUUUUAUGACCCUCUCCCCUUGGAUAGGAACGAGGAUCAAGAAUAUGGCAAAGGUGAUUGGAUAUCACUUCUGUGAUUAUGUUUUAUUACAUAUGACUCUAACUUGUUAGCAGACUUGUUCCAAAGACUUUUAUUGCUGGCAGUAUGAAUAAAUGGCUGUGUUGGAAAAAUCUUCAUAGAGAGGAGCUGAAGGUCAUUUGCAGCAGAGAGCCAGCAAGAAAGUGGGUACACAUGUGUGCGCGCACACACACUCAAUAUGUAUAGAUGUAUAAACACAAAAAUGUAUUUUUUCCAUACAUACACAUUCAUAUACAGUAUUUUGACUAAAGAAUAUUUCUGUUGGGUAUGUUGGCACAUGCCUGUAAUCCCAGCAGCUCCUGAGGCUGAGGCAGGAAGAUCACUCAAAGCCAACAGCAAGUUAGUGAGGCCCUAAGCAACUUAGUGUGAACUGUCUCAAAAUAAAAAUAUUUAAAAAGGAUUGGGUUGUGGUUUAGAGGUAGUGUACUCACCUAGCAUGCAUGAGGCACUGGGUUUGAUUCUCAGCACCACAUAAAAAUAAAAUAAAGGUAUUGUGUCCACCUAUAACUAAAAAAAUAUAUAUAUAUAUAUAUAUUUAAAAAAAACACACUCUCUCUCUCUCACACACACACGCACACACAAAAAUGUUCCUAUAAUAUUCAUGGAAAAUCUAGAACACUAUCUCUGUAACAAAAAUUCUUCUUUUUGUUUGUAGUAUUAGGGAUUGAACCAACUCUCACUGAAUUACAUCACUAGCCCCUUUUAUUUUUUAUUUUUAAACAGGGUCUUGCUAAAUUGCCCAAGCUGGCCUUGAAUUGUAAUUCUCCUGAGUUGAACUUGUACAAGCUCUCGAGUAGCUAAGAUUGCAGGUGUGUGCCACUAUGCCUACCCACAGAUUCCUAUAUAAUUAAUUUAUUUGUGUGAUUUAAGAUAUGUGCAAUAGUUUAAAUUUUUAUUUGUUCUUUUUAUUUAUACAUGACAGUAGAAUUUAUUUUAACAAGGAUAUGUGAUAUUUUGUACCUUAUGGCAUUAAAUGUUUUUUCUUCACUAUAAUUGAAAAGUAAUAGCAAACAACUUGAUUCUCUGGGAGAGGCACUCUAACUAGAACCCAUCUAUAGUUAAAUUUUAGUUUGACUUUCCAUCACUGGGAAGAAUAUUAAUCUUGACCAAAAAAAGCUGUGCAUGGAACAUGUAUGCUUACUAGUUAGGUUUUUUCCAUUUUCAGAAGCGAACGUUGGAAAAAGGGUAAUGUUAAAUUAUAGGAGAUAAAAUUCUGAACAAUUGCAAAAAUGUUUCUCACCUCUUUGACAUGACAUUUUGAGAAGUUUCCUCAUUUGGAUGUAGUGUUCCAUCUAGCAAAACAAUGUGGGUUUUAAAAAAGCAUUUCAAAGAAAAGUGUUUUUGUCUUUAAAAACUAAUCUACAAAUAUAGUUCUUUAGAGUUUCUGAGUUCCCACCAUGUAUCUUAUUCAGUAUUUGAGAAACCAUAAUUCCUUUGAGGUUAAAAAUAAAAACGCUGCAUAAUACUGAUUUAUAGGAAACACUAUAACUCUCAGUGAUAAAGGUCUCAUCUACUCUCUGGUUAUCAUUCACAUGUUGAUUUUUCUCCUUAAACUGCUAGGACUCACAGAAAGUCAUUGAGAACUGUGUCUUCCUUUGAUUUUUGCAAAUGUUUUAAAAGAUAGAUACUGGGUAUUCAAAUUUUUGGACCAAUGCCACCCCUUUAAAGAAAGUACUUAUUCAUUGAUGAUGUCUGAUCAAGACACUAUCAAUACUGUACAAGUACAUAGUGCAUACUUCUUAAAUUUAUUUUUCUCUUUGGAUGUUUCACUUUUUACUUUUAGUUUUCAUUUUUCUUCUCUGAUAAACUUGAAGCAGAUACUGCAGGAUAAAAGACAGAUAUUUUGGAAAAAGUCAAAUUCUAGACAAGGAUAUUUAAGAGAGAUAAGAUUUACGAUCAUCCUAGAGAACUGUAAUUUCUAUAGUUCCAUAUGACAGAGCAGAUGAUCAUCAACUAAUCAUUGUAGAGAAUGGCUGUUGUCACAUUGUGGUGCUUUGGCCCAGACUUUCUACAUUGACAGAUUUCCUUUUCUUUAGAAAAAAAUCAUUAAAAUAACCUCCUAUCUAAGGGAAAUAAUGGCAUAGAAUAAAGCACUACUUUACCAUUAAAUUGUCGGUAAUAAUAAUAUCUGGUACUUCGACUUCUCAUCCAAUAUAUAAGCUAGCUAGCAAAAAUGAGUAUGUGUGUAUACACAUUUUCCCCUAUUUUGGGUCUUUUAUAUAUGUUUAUAGACAGAAGAAAAAUUUAAAAGUUAUUGGAAUUAUCUGCCUGAGACAAUGUGACUGACAUGCUACAUUGUCGCUAUGAAAGAUGACUGCACAUAGAUUGAUAAUUAGAGACCUUUUUUCACAGAAGUGGUAUCCAUUCAAAUUGAGUCUCUAGGCUGAUUUGCAUCAAGGAUAUAGAGAGCAAAGAACCAUCAACUUCAGAAUUUGUUUGCAUUAAACAUGUCGAGUGAUUCACCUCCCAAGUGAGGGUCUUCAUGCAAAAUAAUGAGUGGAUAACCAAGUCAGAUUAACUCCUCAUGGGCUCUAAUGCUACUCUAAUGUCUGGCAUCCAUUCCAUGUGCUACAAGUCUCUAAAAUCCUAAAGUAAUACAAAUUAAUAUCCCUGAGACUAUAAGGCCAUAGAACCUCAGGAGACAACUUGCCCAUGUGUCAUCUUCCCUGUUUUGAGGGUGACUUCUCAGGUCAACACUGACUUGGAGAUGGAGGCUUUCACAGAGAUUUAAUCAACUUUAAAACUUUAGCAACUUUGGUAUCUCCUGGCUGGUCCUCACUCCUCCUAAUACCACCAGUUGACUCUCUCUCUCCUUGCCACCACAGAGAGGGCAAGAAAGAAAUCAGUGCCCAACAGCUUAUGAUCUUGGGAUGUGGGGGAUUAGGGUGUGAUGUUCUGGAGAGUUCUAUAAAAUCUACUCCAAUAAUACAGUGUUGGUGGCAGAGUGUUCUGGGCAUUUUACAUAUAUAGUCAUUUAAAGGAUAGCAGGAAUGUUCUCUGGUAAUGUAAGUCGUAUGUUUUUGCAAAUGUCUUAUCAAGAAGAUGCAUAAAGUAGGAAAUGUAAACAUAGCCACAUGUGCACUCCUAAUCAUGAGAGUGUGGUGAGUCUUCCAGCACAAUAGAAUACAGGGUUAAACUUAUCCACUGUCAGUCCAUGAUGGCCUCACUGGAUCCACUGUGGAUUGGAUAUCCAGAGUCUUUUUCCAAAACCAGAAGUGUGUAAUAGUGAAACAAAGGGGCCAGAUAUUUUCUCCUCUAAAUCCAGAACUAGAUCAUAGCAAACAUCCCAAAGAAUAAUGAAAACAUCAAUUGAUGGUAUUUUCUAAAUGCACGUUUAGUUUGAGUAAUUGGAAGAGAGGAAUAGAAAUAGUAAUGAAGGAAUUCAUUUCUACUUAAUCUUUGAAAGAUUCAGCUUACCUCAAUUUAAACUUUGUUUUUGUUUUCUCUCUGAAAAUAGUUUAAAAAAAACACAUUAGGACCUAUUUGAAGAAGGAAGAUAUUACACUGCACAUGUUUUAUUAGAAAUAUAAUGUUCCAUAUUAGGCUCAUUAUAUGCCCUAAGAAGACAGCUAUAUAAGUUCUUUUAAUAGGUGUUGACAGUGCAGGCCUUGUGUAUCAUAAGCUGAGUGCUACAUGAAUGUUACUGAUAGCAUAUGAAUUCAAUAAGAAAUUCAAAUAUGUUGUGGCUGUCACUCAGUGCUAGUUGGAAUUUCAGGCUCCUAGUUGAGAGGAAACAACAUAUGUACACUGCCUGCAAAGUUUACCCAAACACAAAAAAGGUGAUUUUUGCUAAGGACACAGCAGAAGCAGAACAUAUAUUUUGAUGGAAGCUGUUGCCUUUUGAAAGGGACCUGAUGGAAGGAACUCAAAUAUGGUCUUAAAUGCUAACAGAUGGGUUAAACACAGGCUAUAUCCAAAUAUUUAUUAUAUGCAUAGAUAGUCAAGAGAUUUGGUGUAUAUGCACAUGUGUGGGCAGUGGAUAUAUAUGGAAUCAGGGAACAUUGACAGAAUUUUGUGUGGAAAAACACUAAGGACACACAUGAUGAAUUAAAAAAGCAUUUGUCUAUCUUGUAAUUAAAUAUGUAUGAAAAUAAGGCAUAGUAAACAUUUGUAAAUACAUGAAUAAAAUUAUAUAUAUAUAUAUACGUACAGAUGUAUGCACACACAGAGACACAUAUCAAACUAAGAAGGGCAAACUCAGGAAAAUUAAUUAUAAAAUUCUGUAUGUCAUGGUACUGUUAUUCUUAUAUGUGCAUCAAAAACCAACUUUUGUUGCUAAUCCUUAUAAAAAGGACAUUUAUUUUGUAUUUUUGCUUACUUAAAUUUAAAGCUGCAAAUAAAUGUAAAAAUCACCAGUAAUCCUAGUAUACGGAGGUAAAAUUCCUAAUAUUUAUAAAGCUAUCUUUCCAAAUCACUUAAAAAAUGUGUACACAUAGAUUUAUCUUCCAAAAAAUCCCUACAUAAUCUUUUUAAAUAUGGUUGUUAAUAAGAAGAAUCUUUCCAUGAUGCUGCAUACACUAACUCUAUUUAAAAUAAGUUGCAAAUGUGUAUCAUUUCAUAUGCAUAUAAGCAUUCCCUCAUAUUUAUAUAUAUACACUGAUCCACUAUUUUUACUAUUUCAAGAUAUUAUGGUGAAUGUUUUUGGGUUGAAGAUUUGUACUUAUAUAAUUAUUUCCUAAGAAUAUUUUUGGACAAUUAAUAUACACAUUUCUUAGAUUCUGAAUACUUUUAGCCUGAUUGCCUUGUGUUAAACUAGUACUAAAUUAUAUAUAUUUUUGGAGUCUCCCACAUUUUCAUUUAAUAGUAUUUGUUAUUAAUGGAUCAUAAACACAAGAAUCAUGAUAAAUCUUUUUCCAUUUACCCUUCCAGUUCUUUGUAACCUUAUAUGGAAGGAGAGUCUCCUUUCUGCUAUAUCCUUGCUGUCUUUUUAAUCCAGCCUGAGCUUUUUCUCAAUUGAAAUAUUUGCUCUACUUAACAGCUCACAAACAGACUUAUUUAUUUUCUAUGUUUAUUUUGUUUCCAUUCUUGUACUUUGAUUUCUAUUAAUAUUUUAAUUUUUUCUGUUAUUUCUACUCUAUGAGCUUCUUAGUUUUAUGUUUACUCUUAUAGUAGUUACCUUGGGUAUUAUUACAUUUUCGACUUGCUACAAGUAUAUGUGAAUUAUCCUAUUCAACACAUCCCAAGAAAUGUAAGCAAUUUGAAUAUUUUUUUUUUGUGUGUGUGUGUGUGUGUGUGGUACUGAGGAUUGAACCCAGGGCCUUAUGCAUGCAAGGCAAGCACUCUACCAACUGAUUUAUAUCCCCAGCCCUUGAAUAUUUUAAUUUAAUUUUUCUCUCACUCUUUUUAAAAAAAAUUGACAUUUUUACUUUUACAUAUUUUAAAUGCUCUAAAAUAUUAUUGUUGUUUUAAACAGUUAAUAUUCAUUUAUAUUUAUUACAUAUUUACCCUUUGUGGUUUUUCAUUUCUUCCUGAAUCUUCCUUAAUCUUUCAUCUAAACAUCAAUUAUAUCUAUGUUGUUAUAAUUCCACAUUAUAUAAUAGCAUGUUCCACAUCAAUAUUAUAAACUUUUCAUUGUUUUCUAUAACUUUCACUUUCAUAUUUUAUUCUAUAUAUUUUCUUCCAGUUCAGCAAUUAACUUUCAAAUAUAUCUAUUGUCUUUGGUUUCAUUAGUUGUAACUUUUAUCUCUAGACAUUCCAUUUGUCUCGAUUUUAUAGUUUCUGGCUCUGAGUUCAAAUUUUACUCUCUUAUUUAAAUUUUUGAAAAUACUAAUCAAAGUUGGUAUAAAGUAUAUAUGUGAUAACUCCAACAUUUUUAUCUCUCUUAAAUCUGUUUUGAAUGUCUUGUUUGCAUCUCAAAUUUGUUAAUUCUUAUCUUUUUUCACUUCUGGAAAUUUUGAAUGAAUGUCUGAUAGUGUGAUAUUAUGUAUGAAAAAGUUUAGAGGUCAUUUGAAGCUGUUGAUGACAAUUUCUUUCUAUAGAGGAAAGUUUGUAUGUAUUUCUGGCAAUUAGCUAGAAUUGCCACAGUAGGUGCCACAAGAACCUAGGUAUUCCUAGUAUUACUUUUUUUGGGGGAUGAAUCUUUUUUAACAUCCCACGAGGCUGCAGAAGGCUCUGCCAGCCUUCUCAGCUAACACCGUCUUUUUCCCCUUUUGGUGCAUGAUAAGCAUCCACUCUGCCUUCGCAUUAUAAGUCCAGUCCCAACUGAGGCUCUGAAAACUGAGAAUGCAUUUGGGGGUGGGGGGAGAUUUUCACAUGAUUUCAUAAAAAAUAUUGUGCCCAAAUUUUCUAAUUAUUCUGGAGUAGUUGAUUUUAAAAUAACUAUUCUGUCACCAUCUGAAGUAAAUACAUAUUUUUAAAAUGCUGAGACCUGUUUGGAUUCUCCUGAGGUCAGCAUCAGACUCUUUCCCCUUCUGUUUUCACUGCAUAAAAUUUAUAGUAAGCAUGAUUUUAAUUUUAAUUACAGUGUAAUUUUUGUCAUAUUUUCAGUGAUAAUGCAUUUUUCUACUUAUACUGAGUUUAAAAUGAGCCUGAUAGCAUCCCUUUUAUAACUAGAACAACUAAACUAUACAGUAAAUGGUAUAAUAUAUCUCUACAAAGUUGUUUCUAAAAUGUGUUUUUUUUUCUAGUUUUUUAAAAAAAAUGUUUAUUUUUUCAAAGAAAAAUAGCAACAGUCAAGUAAAAACCUACUUAUUCUUCAACUCCAAUUUUGUUACUUUUUAAAAAUUUAAAAGUGACUUAUUUACUAUUUUAAAUGCCCCCUCUCCUUUUCCCUUUAAAUGCUUACUACCUGCUCAUACUGAAUCCUUUCAAGGAGGUUGUUCCAGUGUAUAUCUCCAGAUCUUCGCUUUGCUUCUUCAACUAAAAAAUAUAAAACACAAUUCCAUCAUGCAUCGUAUGAGCUCCAAUUGUCACAUAUAGGGGGAACAAACUUUGGAAUAGCCAAUUAAGUUUAAUGAAAAAUAAUCCACAUGCAUUCAGUUUGGUUGGGGCAGGAAUUCACUAAAAUGUAUCUAAAAUGUAUGAAAACCAUAUAUAUUUUUUUGUUUCAACCCAGGAAAAUAUUUCAACUAAUUUCAAUUAUUGCUUUUUUAAAUUUAUUCUUUUUAACUUUCAGACAUUUCUGUUAUCUUUAUCUGUUUUUAUGUCAACUUCAUUUCUAAAAUAUUGUUUCCAAAAUGUUUGCUCUUUUCCUGACAUUCUGUACCAUUAUGUUCUAAACAUUGGGUUUUCUGUACUACCUAGAUGAAUUCUAUUUUAAAUUUAUUUAAGUUCUAAUUAGUUACACAUGACAGUAGAAUGCAUUUUUGACAUAUCAUACAUAAAAGGANACACUUGCCUUUUGGUUUUGGGGGACUUGCUUAAUUUGUUUAGCAUGAUAUUCUCCAGCUCCGUCCAUUUACUGGCAAAUGCCAUAAUUUCAUUCUUCUUUAAGGCUGAGUAAUAUUCCAUUGCGUAUAUAUGCCACAUUUUCUUUAUCCAUUUAUCUACUGAAGGACACUUAGAUUAGUUCCAUAGUUUAGUUAUUAUGAAUUGAGCUGCAAUGAACAUUGAUGUGGCUCUGUCACUCACUGUAGUAUGCUCAUUUUAAGUCCUUUGGAUAUAUGAUGGAGAGGGGGAUAACUGUGUCAAUUGUGGUUCCAGUCAAAGUUUUCUGAGGACUCUCUAUAAUGCUUUCCAUAGUGGUUGCACCAAUUUGCAGUCCUACCAGCAAUGUAUGGAUGUACCUCUCUCCCCACAUCCUCACCAACAUUUAUUGUUACUUGAAUCUUGAUAGUUGCUAUUCUGACUGGAGUGAGAUUAAAUCUCAAUUUAUUACCUAGAUGAAUUUUAUUUUGCUUUACUUUUUUUUUUGUACUAGGGAGUGAAUGCAGGGGAAGUUUACCACUGAGCUACAUCUUUUUUACUUUUUAUUUUCAGAGAAGAUCUUGCUAAGUUGCUUAGGGCCUCAUUAAGUUGCUGAGGCUGGCUUUUUUCUUUCUUUUUAUUUUGUAAUUUGUUCUAAUUAGUUAUACAAGUGAUUGGAAUGCAUUUUGACACAUUGUACAAAUAUGGAGCACAACUUCUCAUUCCUCUGGUGGUAUGGUGAGGCUGGCUUUGAGCUUUAAUCCUGCCUCAGCCUCCCAAAUGGUUGGAAUUAUAGGGGUGUACCACCAUGCUGGACUCUUGGCAUUACUCUUAAAUAAUCCUUACUUAUCCUAAUUUAUUUCAUAUUUCAUGUUGUAAUUUUCUCCAUUUUAGAAAUUUUAAUAUUUUUCAGUUUUAUGUUAUGACACCCCCUCUAUUUAGCCAUAUUAUUUGCUCUUUUUUUUUUUCCUGUAGAUGACGUCUUGCACUCUUAAAGAUGAUCACUGUAGUCUUAUUAAGGAAGUUGGGGUCUAAUCCCACAUGAUAGAGAUUAGGGCUUAUUUUUUCUUCUAUUAGAUGCAGGGUCUCUGGUUUUAUUCUGAAGUCCUUGAUCCAUUUUGGUUUGAGUUUUGUGCAUGGUAAAAGAUAGGGGUUUAAUUUAAUCUUGUUGUAUAUGGAUUUCCAGUUUUCCUAGCACCAUUUGUUGAAGAGGCUAUCUUUUCUCCAAUGCAUGUUCUUGGCACCUUUGUCUAAUCUAAGAUAAUUGUAGUUUUGUGGGUUAGUCUCCGUGUCCUCUAUUCUGUACCAUUGGUCUACCAGUCUGUUUUGUGCCAAUAUCAUGCUAUUUUUGUUACUAUCCCUCUGUAGUAUAGUUUGAGGUCUGGUAUAGUGAUGCCACCUGCUUCACUCUUCCUGCUAAAAAUUGCUUUAGCUAUUCUUGGUCUUUUAUUUUUCCAGAUGAAUUUCAUGAUUGCUUUUUCAAUUUCUAUGAGGAAUGUCAUUGGAAUUCUGAAAGGAAUUGCAUUAAAUCUGUAUAGUGCUUUUGGAAGUAUGGUCAUUUUGAUAAUAUUAAUUCUGCCUAUCCAAGAACAAGGGAGAUCUUUUCAUCUUCUAAGGUCUUCUUUGAUUUCUUCCUUUAGUGUUCUGUACAUUCAUUGUAGAGGUAUUUCACCUCUUUCAUUAGGUUGAUUUCCAAGUAUUUUAUUUAUUUAUUUGUGUGUGUAUGUGUGUGUAUAUAUAUAUAUAUAUAUAUAUAUAUAUAUAUAUGGACCCAACACAAUGCCUUUAAUUUUAUGUGGUGCUGAGAAUCGAACCUAGGUCCUGCCCAUGCUAGGUGAGCACUCUACCACUGAGCCACAAUCCCAGCCCUAUUUAUUUAUUUUUUGAGGCUAUUGAAAAUGGGGUAGUUUUCCUCAUUUCUCUUUCUGAGGAUUUGUCGCUGAUAUACAGAAAUGCCUUUGAUUUAUGGGUGUUGAUUUUAUACCCUGCUACUUUGCUGAAUUCAUUUACUAGUUCUAGAAGUUUUCUGGUGGGACUUUUAGGGUCUUCUAGUUAUAGAAUCAUAUCAUCUGCAAAUAGUGCCAAUUUGAGUUCUUCUUUUCCUAUGUAUGUCCCUUUAAUUUCUUUCAUCUGUCUAAUUGCUCUGGCCAGUGUUUCAAUAAUUAUGUUAAAUAGAAAUGGUAAAAGAGGGCAUCCCUGUCUUGUUGUAGUUUUUAGAGGGAAUGCCUUCAAUUUUUCUCCAUUUAGAAUGAUGUUGGACUGGGGCUUAGCAUAGAUAGCCUUUAUGAUGUUGAGAUAUAUUCCUUUAUCCCUAGUUUUUCUAGUGUUUUGAACAUAAAAAGGGGGCUGUAUUUUAUAAAAUACUUUUUUUGCAACUAGUGAGAUGAUCAUAUGAUUCUUAUCUUUAAGUCUAUUGAUGUGAUGAUUACAUCUAUUGAUUUCUGUAUGUUGAACCAACCUUGCAUCCCUUGGAUGAAUCCCACUUGAUCGUGGUGCAUGAUCUUUUUGAUAUAUUUUUGUAUUCAAUUUGCCAGAAUUUUAUUGAGAAUUUUUACAUCUAUGUUCAUUACAGAUAUUGGUCUGAAAUUUUCAAAUCAAGAAUCAAUAAAUGGGAUGAACUCAAACUAAAAUAUUCUCCUCAGCAAAAGAAAUAAUCUGUGACAUGAAUAGAGUGCCUACUCAUUGGGAACUGCUACAGUCUGGCUGGGCACAAAUCACAAGCCACUGAAACAGGAACAAACUUUAUUUCUGAACUCCACCAGCACACUCCACACAUGCUCCCUGGGAACUCUCCAGAGCCACUCCUCCAGGAACCACCAACCUGAAAUCCCUCCUCCGGCACUUCCCCAACCAAUUCGAACUCUUCAGGAAUCCCCGUGAGAGCUCAACUGGAACUCAACAGGAACUCCGCAAGAACUCAAAAGUCAUCAUCUUAAUGGCUCUCUGGAGUCAACUCUCAACCACUACUUCUGGCAAAAAUGCCAUGCGUCAUCCUGACUCGGCUGUAGCCCUCAACAGGGAAAAUAUCUUUACCCCUCACACAUCAGAAAGAGCACUAAUCUCUAGAGUAUGUAAAUAACUCAAAAAGCUAAACACUAAAAAAAUAAAUAACCCAAUCAAUAAAUGGGCCAAGGACCUGAAAAGACACUUCUCAGAAGAUGAUGUACAAUCAAUCAACAAAUACAUGAAAAAAUGUUCAUCAUUACUAGCAAUUAGAGAAAUGCAAAUCAAAACCACUCUAACAGUUCAUCUCACUUCAGUCAGAAUGGCAGCUAUUAUGCAUACAAACAACAAAAGUGUUGGUGAGGAUGUGGGGAAAAAGGUACACUCAUACACAGCUGGUGGGACUGCUAAUUGGUGCAGCCAAUAUGGAAAGCUGAAUGGAGAUUCCUUGGAAAAUUGAGAAUAGAACCAUCAUUUGACCCAGCUAUCCCUCUCCUCGGUCUAUAUGGACUUAAGAACAGCGUACUACAGGGACACAGGUACCUCAAUGUUUAUAGCAUCACAAUUCACAAUAGCUAAACUGUGGAGCCAACCUAGAUGCUCAUCAGUAGAUGAAUGGAUAAAGAAUAUGUGGUAUAUAUACA